UACGAACUGUGCAAACGUUAUUCGGAAUCACUGGGCUUAAAGGGUGCGUAGGCGGCUGUCUAAGCAGGGUGUGAAAGCCCCGGGCUCAACCUGGGAAUGGCAGUGGAAACUAGGGGACUGGAAUCUGGCAGAGGGGGGUGGAAUGCCGCGUGUAGCAGUGAAAUGCGUAGAGAUGCGGCGGAACACCGAUGGCGAAGGCAGCCCCCUGGGCUGAGAUUGACGCUCAGGCACGAAAGCGUGGGGAGCAAACAGG
rnacentral:rRNA from 1 species